GGAGAGAUGGCCGAGCAGGCCGAAGGCGCUCCCCUGCUAAGGGAGUAUGGGCCAAAAGCCCAUCGAGGGUUCGAAUCCCUCUCUCUCCGCCA
rnacentral:tRNA from 1 species